rnacentral:rRNA from 1 species
CUGCCCGGUGUUAAUAAUAAACGGCCGCGAAAGUGCUAAGGUAGCAUAAUAAUUUGUCUUUUUAUUGGAGACUAGUAUGAAUGGCAUAACGAGACUUAACUGUAUCAAGUAAAUUGAUUAUAUAAAAUUAAUAUACAAGUGAAAAACCUNGUGAUUAUAUAAAAGACGAGAAGACCCUAUAGAGUUUUAGUAAAAUUUACUUUUAUUGGGGCAAUAUAUGUGUAAAUAGAAACAUAAACCCAAAUACCCUAUAAUAGAAAAUAAUAUAAACUACCUUAGGGAUAACAGCGUAAUAUAAUCUGAGAGACCUAAUCAAAGAUUAUGUUUGCGACCUCGAUGUUGGACUAGGGUAUCUAAUUAAUGCAGAAGUUAAUAAAAGAAAGCCUGUUCGGCUUAAAAUCCCCUACGUGAUCUGAGUUCAGACCGGUAUCAACAAUAGGGUU